rnacentral:rRNA from 1 species
GACGAACGCUGGCGGCGUGCUUAACACAUGCAAGUCGAACGGAAAGGCCCUGCUUGCCGGGUACUCGAGUGGCGAACGGGUGAGUAACACGUGGGUGAUCUACCCUGCACUUCGGGAUAAGCCUGGGAAACUGGGUCUAAUACCGGAUAGGAGCCAUUUUUAGUGUGAUGGUUGGAAAGUUUUUUCGGUGUAGGAUGAGCUCGCGGCCUAUCAGCUUGUUGGUGGGGUAAUGGCCUACCAAGGCGGCGACGGGUAGCCGGCCUGAGAGGGUGGACGGCCACAUUGGGACUGAGAGACGGCCCAGACUCCUACGGGAGGCAGCAGUGGGGAAUAUUGCACAAUGGGCGCAAGCCUGAUGCAGCGACGCCGCGUGGGGGAUGACGGCCUUCGGGUUGGAAACUCCUUUCGCUAGGGACGAAGCUUUUUGUGACGGUACCUAGAUAAGAAGCACCGGCUAACUACGUG